GGUCCUCCCCCGGUCCCAAAACUCUCCCCAAGCAGUUGCCUCGAGACCUGCCAGACGAACCUUGGAUUAGAUUUCACAUUUGUUCGCAUUCACUGUAAAUAAAUCACAUCAUUGUA